CCUACGGGUGGCAGCAGUGAGGAAUAUUGGUCAAUGGACGGAAGUCUGAACCAGCCAUGCCGCGUGAAGGAAGACGGCUCUAUGAGUUGUAAACUGCUUUUGUCCAAGGGUAAACCUGAAUACGUGUAUUCAGCUGAAAGUACUGUACGAAUAAGGAUCGGCUAACUCCGUGCCAGCAGCCGCGGUAAUACGGAGGAUCCAAGCGUUAUCCGGAUUUAUUGAGUUUAAAGGGUGCGUAGGCGGAUGGAUAAGUUAGAGGUGAAAUGUCCGAGCUUAACUCGGGAACUGCCUCUAAUACUGUUGAUCGAGAGAGUAGAUGCGGUAGGCGGAAUGUAUGGUGUAGCGGUGAAAUGCUUAGAGAUCAUACAGAACACCGAUUGCGAAGGCAGCUUACCAAUCUAUAUCUGACGUUGAGGCACGAAAGCGUGGGGAGCAAACAGGAUUAGAUACCCGGGUAGUC
rnacentral:rRNA from 1 species